rnacentral:rRNA from 1 species
AACGAACGCUGGCGGCAGGCUUAACACAUGCAAGUCGAACGCCCCGCAAGGGGAGUGGCAGACGGGUGAGUAACGCGUGGGAACGUACCUUUCAGUUCGGAAUAACUCAGGGAAACUUGUGCUAAUACCGGAUACGCCCGCAAGGGGAAAGAUUUAUCGCUGAAAGAUCGGCCCGCGUUGGAUUAGCUAGUUGGUGGGGUAAAGGCCUACCAAGGCGACGAUCCAUAGCUGGUCUGAGAGGAUGAUCAGCCACACUGGGACUGAGACACGGCCCAGACUCCUACGGGAGGCAGCAGUGGGGAAUAUUGCGCAAUGGGGGAAACCCUGACGCAGCGACGCCGCGUGAGCGAAGAAGGCCUUCGGGUUGUAAAGCUCUGUUGUAAGGGACGAAGGAGCGUGGGUAGUAACUGACCUGGCGGUGACGGUACCUUACCAGCAAAGCCCCGGCUAACUACGUG